GAUGAACGCUGGCGGCGUGCUUAACACAUGCAAGUCGAACGGAAAGGCCCAAGCUUGCUUGGGUCUUCGAGUGGCGAACGGGUGAGUAUCACGUGGGUGAUCUGCCCUGCACUUCGGGAUAAGCCUGGGAAACUGGGUCUAAUAUCGGAUAUGACAACAUUAUGGAUGGUGUGGUGGAUUGUAGUACGGUGUGGGAUGAGCCCGCGGCCUAUCAGCUUGUUGGUGGGGUAAUGGCCUACCAAGGCGUCGACGGGUAGCCGGCCUGUGAGGGUGUACGGCCACAUUGGGACUGAGAUACGGCCCAGACUCCUACGGGAGGCAGCAGUGGGGAAUAGUGCACAAUGGGCGCAAGCCUGAUGCAGCGACGCCGCGUGGGGGAUGACGGCCUUCGGGUUGUAAACUCCUUUCGCUAGGGACGAAGCGCAAGUGACGGUACCUGGAGAAGAAGCACCGGCUAACUACGUG
rnacentral:rRNA from 1 species